GACGAACGCUGGCGGCGUGCUUAACACAUGCAAGUCGAACGGAAAGGCCCUGCUUUUGUGGGGUGCUCGAGUGGCGAACGGGUGAGUAACACGUGAGUAACCUGCCCUUGACUUUGGGAUAACUUCAGGAAACUGGGGCUAAUACCGGAUAGGAGCUCCUGCUGCAUGGUGGGGGUUGGAAAGUUUCGGCGGUUGGGGAUGGACUCGCGGCUUAUCAGCUUGUUGGUGGGGUAGUGGCUUACCAAGGCUUUGACGGGUAGCCGGCCUGAGAGGGUGACCGGCCACAUUGGUACUGAGAGACGGCGCAGACUCCUACGGGAGGCAGCAGUGGGGAAUAUUGCACAAUGGGCGGAAGCCUGAUGCAGCAACGCCGCGUGCGGGAUGACGGCCUUCGGGUUGUAAACCGAUUUGGCCUGUGACGAAGCGUGAGUGACGGUAAUGGGUAAAGAAGCACCGGCUAACUACGUG
rnacentral:rRNA from 1 species